UACGAAGGGGGCUAGCGUUGUUCGGAAUCACUGGGCGUAAAGCGCACGUAGGCGGCAUUGCAAGUCGGAUGUGAAAUCCCUCGGCUCAACCAAGGAAGUGCAUCCGAAACUGCCGUGCUUGAGUACUAAAGAGGAUCGCGGAAUUCCCGGUGUAGAGGUGAAAUUCGUAGAUAUCGGGAGGAACACCAGUGGCGAAGGCGGCGAUCUGGGUAGAUACUGACGCUGAGGUGCGAAAGCGUGGGGAGCAACAGG
rnacentral:rRNA from 1 species